UUUAAAUGGCCGCAGUACCUUGACUGUGCUAAGGUAGCAUAAUCAAUUGGCUUCUAAUUAGAGUCUGGAAUGAAAGGAAGCAUGAAAUAAUUCUGUCUUAAAAGAAAUUUUUUGAAUUUAUUUAAAUGAUGAAAAUAUCAUUUUUUUUAGAAAAAAGACGAGAAGACCCUUAGAGUUUUAACUAAUUUUAGUUUUUGUUGGGGCGACAAGUAAACAAUUAAACUUUAGUAAUUAAUUUGAAUAUAUCGAUUUUUUUUAAAAAUAAUUAAACUACCUUAGGGAUAACAGCAUUAUUUUUUAAAAUGAUUGUGACCUC
rnacentral:rRNA from 1 species